GAUGAACGCUGGCGGCGUGCCUAAUACAUGCAAGUCGAGCGAACGGACGAGAAGCUUGCUUCUCUGAUGUUAGCGGCGGACGGGUGAGUAACACGUGGAUAACCUACCUAUAAGACUGGGAUAACUUCGGGAAACCGUAGCUAAUACCGGAUAAAAUUUUGAACCGCAUGGUUCAAAAGUGAAAGACGGUCUUGCUGUCACUUAUAGAUGGAUCCGCGCUGCAUUAGCUAGUUGGUAAGGUAACGGCUUACCAAGGCAACGAUGCAUAGCCGACCUGAGAGGGUGAUCGGCCACACUGGAACUGAGACACGGUCCAGACUCCUACGGGAGGCAGCAGUAGGGAAUCUUCCGCAAUGGGCGAAAGCCUGACGGAGCAACGCCGCGUGAGUGAUGAAGGUCUUCGGAUCGUAAAACUCUGUUAUUAGGGAAGAACAUAUGUGUAAGUAACUGCGCACAUCUUGACGGUACCUAAUCAGAAAGCCACGGCUAACUACGUG
rnacentral:rRNA from 1 species